rnacentral:rRNA from 1 species
CCUACGGGUGGCAGCAGUGGGGGAUAUUGCACAAUGGGGGGAACCCUGAUGCAGCGACGCCGCGUGGGUGAAGGAGUGCUUCGGCAUGUAAAGCCCUAUCGGCAGGGAAGAAGCAAGACGGUACCUGACUAAGAAGCCCCGGCUAACUACGUGCCAGCAGCCGCGGUAAUACGUAGGGGGCGAGCGUUAUCCGGAUUCACUGGGUGUAAAGGGAGCGUAGACGGCCAAGCAAGCCAGGGGUGAAAGCCCGGGGCCCAACCCCGGGACUGCCGUUGGAACUGCAUGGCUAGAGUGCGGGAGGGGCAGGCGGAAUUCCUGGUGUAGCGGUGAAAUGCGUAGAUAGCAGGAAGAACACCGGCGGCGAAGGCGGCCUGCUGGACCGCGACUGACGUUGAGGCUCGAAAGCGUGGGGAGCGAACAGGAUUAGAUACCCUAGUAGUC